GACGUAGGGCGCAAGCGUUGUCCGGAUUUAUUGGGCGUAAAGAGCUCGUAGGCGGCCUGUCGCGUCGACCGUGAAAACCCGCAGCUCAACUGCGGGCUUGCGGUCGAUACGGGCAGGCUGGAGUUCGGUAGGGGGAGACUGGAAUUCCUGGUGUAGCGGUGAAAUGCGCAGAUAUCAGGAGGAACACCGGUGGCGAAGGCGGGUCUCUGGGCCAUUACUGACGCUGAGGAGCGAAAAGCGUGGGGGAGCGAACAGG
rnacentral:rRNA from 1 species